rnacentral:rRNA from 1 species
UACGGAGGGGGCUAGCGUUGUUCGGAAUUACUGGGCGUAAAGGGCUCGUAGGCGGCCAACUAAGUCAUACGUGAAAUCCCUCAGCUUAACUGGGGAACUGCGUGUGAUACUGGAUGGCUUGGAUUUGGGAGAGGGAUGCGGAAUUCCAGGUGUAGCGGUGAAAUGCGUAGAUAUCUGGAGGAACACCGGUGGCGAAGGCGGCAUCCUGGACCGGUAUUGACGCUGAGGCGCGAAAGCCAGGGGAGCAAACGGG